GCUAGAUCACUGACAGGGGGAGCUGCGCAAUUAUAUAUAUAAUUAUAUAUUAUAUAUGUAUAUUAUAUGUUUACGUCGCAAAUUUGGAAAUAUUUCUGUUUUAAACCGUGAAGGCGAGCCAAUGGAUAUCACAUAAGCAACGUGCAAAUUUUGCGCAAGAGGUAUGCCGGUGAACGUCUUAAUCUCAGUCAAUUCACUAGAGAAAGUGAAAGUAAAAACGGAAUAACGGAGUAAUGACAAAGCUUUCGGCAUUUGACGCCGCAUAUUCUCUCAGAGACAAUCCGAAUCUACUUCAACAUAUGCUGAUAACGGACAAUUCGACGGUUGUUGUGGUUGACGGCAAACGCAUCAAUGAUGCGCUGAACAUCCAAAGCCUUCGCUCUUCGUGUACUGAUGGCCAAGAGUGCCAAGUCGCUGUUCCGGGCAUCCCCACAGUUGCUUCUCAGAUAUGUUUUCAAGCGUCGGAGACAAGAGAAAGAUCUCUCACAUGACACAGAUGUCACAGGAAGUGUCAGAGAUAUCAAGAUGAGUUUGUACGCCGGACUUGGUGCAUCUCUGCGUUUAAAUUUUCUUCAGUGAUACCGUAAAACUGUGCCAUGGGCAAUAGACACUUCUUUUCUAAGAAUGACUUGUGUUGUGGGCUGAGGGCUGAGACCCCCGUCAACACAUCGUUGGCAUCUUUAGAGAAGCGUCUCAUCAACUCACUGACCAGUCUGUCAACAACUUGAUAAAAGCAGUCGGUGCGCAGAUCAUCAUCAGAGCUGUGAGCGCGGUGUAUAGGAGCCUCAAUGAUAAAGUCAUUCAGUCGCUGGCUUUGUCGGGCAUCUCUCCUUUGUGGUUGUGUGCUCCCCGAUGCUAGGCCAACCUUGCCACACAGUUAAUUUGCACGGUUUUGUAGGUCGCUCCAGUAUUCCUCUGAACGUUUUUCGGAUAGUGCUGUGACGACAGAUUGGAUCAAAUCACUUGCUGAUGAAAUGUCCAGAUUGGGUGACUGGAGCUGGUCUGAAGCAAAUUUGGUGACCCGGAAAAUGUCCUCAAAUAAAACAAGAUGCAAAACAAACUGUUGGUCGAUAAGCCCCUGCAUUGCCCUUGCAUCUGUUUUUCGCCUCGCAUUCGUUUGUACCUGAAUAUCCUGCAAAGUGGCCAGAAUGGCG